rnacentral:rRNA from 1 species
AUUGAACGCUGGCGGCAUGCCUUACACAUGCAAGUCGAACGCGAAAGGGGGGCAACCCCCGAGUAGAGUGGCGGACGGGUGAGUAAUACAUCGGAACGUGCCCAGUAGUGGGGGACAACCUCGAGAAAUCGAGGCUAAUACCGCAGACGACCUACGGGUGAAAGCGGAGGACCGCAAGGCCUCGCGCUAUUGGAGCGGCCGAUGUCCGAUUAGCUAGUUGGUAGGGUAAAAGCCUACAAAGGAAACGAUCGGUAGCUGGUCUGAGAGGACGACCAGCCACACUGGGACUGAGACACGGCCCAGACUCCUACGGGAGGCAGCAGUGGGGAAUUUUGGACAAUGGGGGCAACCCUGAUCCAGCCAUGCCGCGUGCGGGAAGAAGGCCUUCGGGUUGUAAACCGCUUUCGGCCGGAACGAAAUCGCCGGGGAGAACAUCUCCGGUGGAUGACGGUACCGGAAGAAGAAGCACCGGCUAACUACGUGCCAGCCGCCGCCGUAAUAC